rnacentral:rRNA from 1 species
GAUGAACGCUAGCGGGAGGCUUAACACAUGCAAGUCGAGGGGUAUAGUAGCAAUACUAGAGACCGGUGGACGGGUGCGUAACGCGUAUGCAACUUGCCUUAUACAGGGGGAUAGCCCGUGGAAACGCGGAUUAAUACCCCAUAUGUCAUUUGGGUCGCAUGGUCUGGAUGAUAAAGCUGAGGUGGUAUAAGAUGGGCAUGCGUCUGAUUAGCUUGUUGGUAGGGUAAUGGCCUACCAAGGCGACGAUCAGUAGGGGUUCUGAGAGGAUAAUCCCACACACUGGUACUGAGACACGGACCAGACUCCUACGGGAGGCAGCAGUGAGGAAUAUUGGUCAAUGGGCGAGAGCCUGAACCAGCCAUUCCGCGUGAAGGAAGAAGGCCUUAUGGGUUGUAAACUUCUUUUCUGUAAGAAGAAAAGUCCCGACGUGUCGGGAUGUGACGGUAUUAUAGGAAUAAGCAUCGGCUAACUCCGUGCCAGCAGCCGCGGUAACAC